CUGUGUAGUGCGCGGCCGCGUGCACGGCAGAGAGGGGGAGACCUCGCACUCGACAUGUUAGAAACGCAUGUAAUUCCCGGUGGGCGGGUUGUGAUAUGUCCCGGUUUUUUAUCAGACAUAGGUGGCAACCGUAUGUUCCUGUUUAAUAUUUUAAAUGGUCAAUAUUUUUAAAUUCCAGUUGCAUUCUUGAUAUGUGUGAUAAUUGACUGCAACAGACAGCUAGUCUUGACGACUAACUUGGUGCUUUUGCUAUCACAGAGUGACUGAUCAUUUAGGCUAACGUUAGGUCUAAGUUAGUUUCCAUUCAAAGCACGUGUGCCAUCGUGUUAGCAGCUAGUACUUUGCACAAGUACUUUUAAGAAAACCCUAAUAAAUACUGAAGUAUGGCUGUUCUGUGUAUAGAACUAUGAGUUAUUUAUGCAUUUGUAUUUGUUUGUAUUUCAGGUAUUUUUUCAGACUUAAAGCUAAAUGCAGUGCCGCUAUUGUACAUUUUCAUCUGCAGCAAGACACAGGCUACAGACUUCAUCAUUGGCAAGUAGGUAAAUGUUCUUUUCCCUGCAUUCAUCCAGACUGUGUUUGUAUUUUUACAACACACGCACACACACCAGCGCCCCACACGCACACUAAUGACACAUGAUUUGGAUAUUUUUGUGUUUUUUGGAAAAAUGGGAUUAAAUGGGUUAAUAAUGUCUUAUUGAUGACCUGUGUUUUUGGCAGACCACAGAUCUAACUAUUUAUAGGUUUGCUGUUCUUCGUGGUCUUCCCCUGUACUUGAGAGAGCCAGCUUCAAUUUCAAAGACUAUUAAGAAUACUGAGGCACUGGGGCCACACACAAAGGCCAUGAAAAUGGGGAUCCUGGAAGUGACUGACUGAAGUGACUGACAACACAAACUUUUUUUUGGAUGCGAUUAAUCGUUGCCCAUCCCUACAAAGCAUUCAUCCCUGAGAAAUAUUAGAAUGUUUAAUUUUUUAAAGUAGAGAUUUAUUUUGCCAAUAGAACUGUUUUAAUGUACAUAGUGACAUAUGUAACCUGAAAGUAGUGGGCAGUACUUUGUAUUUUAUUUUUUCCAUGUAAUGUACAGUAAUUGCCCUUAGUCUUAGACUAACAGACUAAAAAUGUCAUAUGUUUACAGGCAAAGCCACUGUCAUGUUUUACUGAGUAAAGCAGAUAUUUGUUGUACAGCUAUUGACUAAGUUAUAUGCCAUGCUUUCUUGAACUCUCAGAUCUUGUUUCGGCACUAUUUGAAUACUUGUGUAAUAUUUUACUUGAGACUAACAGGCAAGUCUUUUGUAUUUUAAUAAAUGCAUAAAAUGUACUCUA